CAUAGUGGCGCACGGGUGAGUAACGCGUGGGAAUGUACCAUAUAGUGGGGAAUAACUUUGGGAAACUAAAGCUAAUACCGCAUACGCCCGAGAGGGGAAAGAUUUAUCGCUAUAUGAUCAGCCCGCGUGAGAUUAGGUAGUUGGUGGGGUAAUGGCCUACCAAGCCUACGAUCUCUAGCUGGUCUGAGAGGAUGAUCAGCCACACUGGAACUGAGACACGGUCCAGACUCCUACGGGAGGCAGCAGUGGGGAAUAUUGGGCAAUGGACGAAAGUCUGACCCAGCCAUGCCGCGUGAAUGAUGAAGGCCUUAGGGUUGUAAAGUUCUUUCGCCGAUGAAGAUAAUGACGGUAGUCGGAGAAGAAGCCCCGGCUAACUUCGUGCCAGCAGCCGCGGUAAUACGAAGGGGGCUAGCGUUGUUCGGAAUUACUGGGCGUAAAGCGAGCGUAGGUUGCUCGACAAGUCAGUGGUGAAAGCCCAGAGCUCAACUCUGGAACUGCCAUUGAAACUGUCGAGCUGGAAUCUCAGAGGGGGUAGCGGAAUUCCAAAUGUAGGGGUGAAAUCCGUAGAUAUUUGGAGGAACACCGGUGGCGAAGGCGGCUACCUGGAUGAGUAUUGACACUGAGGCUCGAAAGCGUGGGGAUCAAACAGGAUUAGAUACCCUGGUAGUCCACGCUGUAAACGAUGGAUGCUAGUUGUUAGGGGGUUCCCCCUUAGUGACGAAGCUAACGCAUUAAGCAUCCCGCCUGGGGAGUACGGUCGCAAGAUUAAAACUCAAAGAAAUUGACGGGGACCCGCACAAGCGGUGGAGCAUGUGGUUUAAUUCGAGGGCAACGCGAAGAACCUUACCAGGCCUUGACAUGUCCAGUUUGAUCGCCAGAGAUGGUUUUUCUUCACUUCGGGUGGCUGGAACACAUGUGCUGCAUGGCUGUC
rnacentral:rRNA from 1 species